GUCUAUAGCCAUGCCACCCUGAAGGUGCCCAAUCCCAUUUGAUCUCAGAAGCUAAGCAGGGUCAGGCCUGGUUAGUACUUGGAUGGGAAGAAUAUCAGGUGCUAUAGGAG
rnacentral:rRNA from 1 species